AAAUGUGGCACCCAGAUCUGGACACAAUACUCCAGUUGAGGCCUAAACAGCACGGAGUAGAGUGGAAGAAUUACUUCUCGUGUCUUGCUUACAACACUCCUGCUCCCUUUGGCUAUUCCCAUCUGCCACAAUGUAGAGUGUAAGUUCUUUGGGACACAGACCAUCUUUUUGUUCAGCACCUGGUGUCUUGGUCCAUGCCCAGGGCUCCUAGCUACUACAGUGAUACAAACAACAGUUCCAUUGCAUAAUCAGGCUCCUCCCCCGAAAAACUCAAGCAUGUUCACUGCCCAGCUAUGAACUAACGCCAUCAAAAGAGAGAGAAGGUUGAAUCCAAGAUUGUCAAGAAAGAAACUGUAACACAUCGAACUAUAUUAUCUGAGAAGUAUGACACGAUUGUGUAAUUAAAGACGGUACAGCAAUGCCAACACAGAACAGAAUCAGUAAAGGUUAUAUAUGCAGCUUCAAAUGUGAAUUUUCCUUCUUUUUGAGUGUUUAUCCUUGCAACCUUUACCUUCUCUUAACAUAGGAUGGGGGUUUUCUUUGUUUGUUUUUGUUUUUUCAAGUGGAAAGCAGGUAGGGGUAAGGGGAGAAGAGGAUCAUCACUUCCCAGGAAUUUGAAUCACUGCAGAUUUGAAAUUAUUUGAUAUCACGUGUCAAUUCCAAGACCUGGAACUACAUGGCCAGAUGUCAUAAUGAGGUUCUGGAGCCCAGACUGGGGAUUCUUCCUACAAAGUGGGCUGCAGCUCCCACUAACACUUUUUCAUCUUAUGGAGUCCUGGCCUCAGCUCCUGCACUCUCCAAUUACACUUG